rnacentral:rRNA from 1 species
UUGAAGAGUUUGAUCAUGGCUCAGAUUGAACGCUGGCGGCAGGCCUAACACAUGCAAGUCGAGCGGUAGCACAGAGAGCUUGCUCUCGGGUGACGAGCGGCGGACGGGUGAGUAAUGUCUGGGAAACUGCCUGAUGGAGGGGGAUAACUACUGGAAACGGUAGCUAAUACCGCAUAAUGUCGCAAGACCAAAGUGGGGGACCUUCGGGCCUCAUGCCAUCAGAUGUGCCCAGAUGGGAUUAGCUAGUAGGUGGGGUAACGGCUCACCUAGGCGACGAUCCCUAGCUGGUCUGAGAGGAUGACCAGCCACACUGGAACUGAGACACGGUCCAGACUCCUACGGGAGGCAGCAGUGGGGAAUAUUGCACAAUGGGCGCAAGCCUGAUGCAGCCAUGCCGCGUGUGUGAAGAAGGCCUUCGGGUUGUAAAGCACUUUCAGCGGGGAGGAAGGCGGUGAGGUUAAUAACCUCAUCGAUUGACGUUACCCGCAGAAGAAGCACCGGCUAACUCCGUGCCAGCAGCCGCGGUAAUACGGAGGGUGCAAGCGUUAAUCGGAAUUACUGGGCGUAAAGCGCACGCAGGCGGUCUGUCAAGUCGGAUGUGAAAUCCCCGGGCUCAACCGGGAACUGCAUUCGAAACUGGCAGGCUAGAGUCUUGUAGAGGGGGGUAGAAUUCCAGGUGUAGCGGUGAAAUGCGUAGAGAUCUGGAGGAAUACCGGUGGCGAAGGCGGCCCCCUGGACAAAGACUGACGCUCAGGUGCGAAAGCGUGGGGAGCAAACAGGAUUAGAUACCCUGGUAGUCCACGCCGUAAACGAUGUCGAUUUGGAGGUUGUGCCCUUGAGGCGUGGCUUCCGGAGCUAACGCGUUAAAUCGACCGCCUGGGGAGUACGGCCGCAAGGUUAAAACUCAAAUGAAUUGACGGGGGCCCGCACAAGCGGUGGAGCAUGUGGUUUAAUUCGAUGCAACGCGAAGAACCUUACCUGGUCUUGACAUCCACAGAACUUUCCAGAGAUGGAUUGGUGCCUUCGGGAACUGUGAGACAGGUGCUGCAUGGCUGUCGUCAGCUCGUGUUGUGAAAUGUUGGGUUAAGUCCCGCAACGAGCGCAACCCUUAUCCUUGUUGCCAGCGGUCCGGCCGGGAACUCAAAGGAGACUGCCAGUGAUAAACUGGAGGAAGGUGGGGAUGACGUCAAGUCAUCAUGGCCCUUACGACCAGGGCUACACACGUGCUACAAUGGCAUAUACAAAGAGAAGCGACCUCGCGAGAGCAAGCGGACCUCAUAAAGUAUGUCGUAGUCCGGAUUGGAGUCUGCAACUCGACUCCAUGAAGUCGGAAUCGCUAGUAAUCGUAGAUCAGAAUGCUACGGUGAAUACGUUCCCGGGCCUUGUACACACCGCCCGUCACACCAUGGGAGUGGGUUGCAAAAGAAGUAGGUAGCUUAACCUUCGGGAGGGCGCUUACCACUUUGUGAUUCAUGACUGGGGUGAAGUCGUAACAAGGUAACCGUAGGGGAACCUGCGGUUGGAUCACCUCCUU